CCUACGGGAGGCAGCAGUGGGGAAUUUUGGACAAUGGGGGCAACCCUGAUCCAGCAAUGCCGCGUGAGUGAAGAAGGCCUUCGGGUUGUAAAGCUCUUUUGUCAGGGAAGAAACAGCAGCUCUAACACAGACUGCGAAUGACGGUACCUGAAGAAUAAGCACCGGCUAACUACGUGCCAGCAGCCGCGGUAAUACGUAGGGUGCGAGCGUUAAUCGGAAUUACUGGGCGUAAAGCGUGCGCAGGCGGUUACACAAGACAGGCGUGAAAUCCCCGGGCUUAACCUGGGAAUGGCGUCUGUGACUGUAUAGCUAGAGUGUGUCAGAGGGGGGUGGAAUUCCACGUGUAGCAGUGAAAUGCGUAGAUAUGUGGAGGAACACCAAUGGCGAAGGCAGCCCCCUGGGAUAACACUGACGCUCAUGCACGAAAGCGUGGGGAGCAAACAGGAUUAGAUACCCUGGUAGUCCACGCCCUAAACGAUGCUGACUAGUUGUUGGGAAUUUACAUUCUCAGUAACGUAGCUAACGCGUGAAGUCAGCCGCCUGGGGAGUACGGUCGCAAAGAUUAAAAACUCAAAAGGAAUUGACGG
rnacentral:rRNA from 1 species